UGCACAGAGGAGGAGUCUGGAUCC
rnacentral:piRNA from 1 species